AGUUUCUCUGUUAUGUUCCAUUGCUUUAUUUGGCUCUCCCUUCAUCAAUACCAGAUUUUCCUAAUUAUCGUAGCUUUACAUUGUUCUGGUAUCCAGUGGAGCAAAUCAUCCUACUUGAAGAGUCAGACUCCAUGCCAAAUUUCUAUGUGUCAUUUUUCAGGCCCAACCAUAGGCAGUUACAAAGGCCGUACACCUCAUGAAGGAAAGCUACCCUCCCCAUGCCAGACUUGGGGCACAGCCAAUGCAUUGCAGUCUCUGAAGAAAGUUGCAGUCAAGGACCCAGACCCCCGGCCCAGCCAUGCUCUUAGGCAUAUCUGCAUUCCUAGUCCAAGCACCUCUGUUUAGAGGUCUCUUUAUUGGUGGCCUCCUCUAAACAAUUCUGAGACCAUUUUACUGGGAUCAGGAACCUUGAUGCCACUUGUCUUCACUUUCAGUAUUUAGUACUUUUCCACUCCUAGCACUUUUCCCUCUUUCCCCUCCCAGCCCUUAGGCCCAUAAAAUGGCUGGAGCCUUUUAUUUAGGUUUCUCAUAGUAGCGAGAUGAUCCCCAUAUCUUUGCUGAUUGUUUUGACACUUGUUUGACUCUGUUCCAUGGGUAAGAAUGUAACACUGCAGGAGCCAGCAGUUUUUCCUGCUGAGCCUCUUGCUAAUGCUACUGCUGAUCUAAGGCUUGACUGAUACCUUAUCAUUUUGGCAUGUUUUAACUGACCACCACGACACCUGGCAGCUCAGUUCUUUCUGCAUCAGCUUAGUUCUUAACACCACCUUCUUCUCCUACUUCAUAAGUGUCUUGGCUGUUCCUGGUUCUUUGCAUUUACAUAUAAAUUUUAGGAUCAGCUGUCAAAUUUGACCCACUCCCUUCUAAAAAAUUAUUGGGAUUUUGAUUGAGAGUGUAUUGAAUCUAUAGAUUAUUGGGGAGAAUCAACAUUCUUACAUGAAUUUUCUAAUUCAUGAACAUGGUAUAGCAUUCCAUUUCUUUAGGGUCUUAAUUUUUCCCAAUAAUAUUUUAUGGUUUUCUGUGUCGGUCUUGAUCAUCUUUAUUAGAUUUAUUUCUAGACAUCUGACAUUUCUUCCAUGUAAUUGUUAGUAGUGUCAUUUUUAAAAAUUUACUUUCUGUUUACAGAGACUUAGCAUUGAUUUUUAUAUAUUGACUUUGUAGCCAGCAUUCUAAUAACAUAUAGAUAUUUUAGGUCUUUACAUAUACCAUUCGCAAAUGAUGACAGUUGUAUUUCUUCCUUUCAAAUCUUUAUACUUUUUUUCCCUCUUAUUACAUUAGUAUGACAUCUACUACCAUGAUAAAAAGAAGUGGUAAUAGCUGGCAUCUUUGUCUGGAAGGCCUGCUGUGACCUUAACUGUAGGUUCCUUUCUCCAGUGACUCAUCUUGAGAUUACCCUUCUCUCAUACCUCCAACAUUUUUGAGACUUGGAUAUUCCAAGCCUGUGCUAACCAUUCACUUCUUUGGCUACACUCAGCAGAAGAGAAAUAGAAAGCUGCCAACCUCUUAGACUCAAACGAAAUCAUUUUCCCAUUUGUUACCCUCAGAAAUUGGCUCUUUCCAUCCACAGGUUCCACAUCCAUGGAUUCAACCAACUGUGUAUUGUCAGUAUUCAAAAAAAUAAUAAAGUAAAAAUAAACAAACAAAUAAAUAAAUAAAAGUUAUCUUGAUCCUGAUCUUCAG
rnacentral:lncRNA from 1 species